AAGUCGUAACAAGGUUUCCGUAGGUGAACCUGCGGAAGGAUCAUUAACGAGAGAGGGUCCUCGGGGCCCGAACCUCCCACCCCUUGUGUAUCUACCUCUGUUGCUUUGGCGGGCCCGGGGAACACCCCCCGCCGGUUUCGGCUGGUGAGCGCCCGUCGGAGGACCUCCAAACUCGAUCUAUCAAUGACGUCUGAGUGACCAAACAAUGAAUUAAAACUUUCAACAACGGAUCUCUUGGUUCUGGCAUCGAUGAAGAACGCAGCGAAAUGCGAUAAGUAAUGUGAAUUGCAGAAUUCAGUGAAUCAUCGAAUCUUUGAACGCACAUUGCGCCCUCUGGUAUUCCGGGGGGCAUGCCUGUUCGAGCGUCAUUAGCCCACUCAAGCCCAGCUUGGUAUUGGAUCUCGCCCCCCCGGGGACGGAUCUCAAAAUCAGCGGCGGAACAGCUGAUCGUCAAGCGUAGUCAAUUCUAUCCCGCUUCGACCGAUCCAGUUGAUUCCAGCCGGACAACCCCCCAUCUUCUCAGGAUUGACCUCGGAUCAGGUAGGGAUACCCGCUGAACUUAAGCAUAUCAAUAAGCGGAGGAAAAGAAACCAACAGGGAUUGCCUCAGUAACGGCGAGUGAAGCGGCAACAGCUCAAAUUUGAAAUCUGACUUCGGUCCGAGUUGUAAUUUGUAGAGGAAGUCUCGGGUGCGAUACUGGUCUAAGUUCCUUGGAACAGGACGUCAUAGAGGGUGAGAUCCCGUAUGCGACUGGUGGUCAACCCCAUGUGAGGCCCCUUCGACGAGUCGAGUUGUUUGGGAAUGCAGCUCAAAAUGGGUGGUAAAUUUCAUCUAAAGCUAAAUACCGGCCAGAGACCGAUAGCGCACAAGUAGAGUGAUCGAAAGAUGAAAAGCACUUUGGAAAGAGAGUUAAAAAGUACGUGAAAUUGUUGAAAGGGAAGCGCUUGCAACCAGACUUGCUCGCGGGUGAUCCACCGUCCCUCGGGGCGGUCUACUCUCCCGUGAUCAGGCCAACAUCGGUUUCGGUGGCUGGAUACAGGCUCCGGGAAUGUGGCUCCCUCCGGGGAGUGUUAUAGCCCGGAGUGCAAUGCAGCCCGCCGGGACCGAGGACCGCGCUUCGGCUAGGAUGUUGGCGUAAUGGUUGUCAGCGAC
rnacentral:rRNA from 1 species